rnacentral:rRNA from 1 species
AGAGUUUGAUCCUGGCUCAGGACGAACGCUGGCGGCGUGCCUAAUACAUGCAAGUCGAGCGGUCUCGCGCAAGCGGGACAGCGGCGGACGGGUGAGGAACACGUGAGUAACCGAGCGCGGAGUGGGGGAUAUCGGGCCGAAAGGCGCGGCAAUCCCGCAUAUCGUCUCGGGCGGGAUACCGCCCGAGGGAAAGGGACCGCAAGGUCUCGCUCUGUGGGGGGCUCGCGGCCCAUUAGCUAGUUGGGGGAGUUACGGCCUCCCAAGGCGACGAUGGGUAGCCGGCCUGAGAGGGUGAUCGGCCACACUGGGACUGAGACACGGCCCAGACUCCUACGGGAGGCGAC